GAUUAACGCUGGCGGCGUGCAUAACACAUGCAAGUCGAACGAUGAAACUUAGUACACUUCUUCGGAACGACACCAAGCGGAUUAGUGGCGACCGGUUGAGUAACUCGUUAUUAAACUGCCUUACACACGGGGAUAGCCAUUGGAAACGAAGAAUAAUACCCUAUAACAUCAUACAAUCACAUGCUAGGAUGGUCAAAGUGCUAGCGGUGUAAGAUGGACGUGCGUCUGAUUAGGUAGUUGUUGAGAUAAAAGAUCACCAAGGCAACGAUCAGUAGCCGGCAUGAGAGAGUGUACGGCCACAUUGCGACAGGGACACGGACCGGACUCCUACGAGAGGCAGCAGUGGGGAAUUAUGCACAAUGGGGGAAAGCCGGAUGCAGCGAGGCCGCGUGAUUUAGAAAGCAGUCGAGUUGUAAAAAGCUAUUGAAUAGGAAGAUAAUGACAGUACUAUACGAAUAAGCUCCGGCUAAUUACGUG
rnacentral:rRNA from 1 species